AUGGCCUCCAAACAGAUGCUGCAUAUGAAUCAAGGACAAGAGGAAACAAGCUAUGCUCGCAACUCCAGUGCUCAGGGCGCUGAGCAGAACAGGAUGAAGCCCCUGAUAGAAGCGGCGAUCGUUGAUCACCUUGUCACAUGGAAAGAUGGUGAUUGCGGACUUAGCUGCUCCUCUGGCCCAAACGCAGUAGCACUGGUGUCGAUUGCCCUCGAGGCCACCCACAGGCACUUUCUUCAGUUGCGGCAGCCACCUCCGGAAGUCUGUAUACUCCUCAAUGAUCUCUCAUACAAUGACUUCAACACAGUGGUGAAGAACCUGGUCCCGCUGCGGCAAAUCAAUGGGGAACGGCCGACGCAAGUGACCGGUGUUGUACCAGGGUCAUUCUACGAGAGACUCUUCCCUAGUGGAUCCUUGCAUCUUGUCUGCUCAUCCAACAGCCUUAAUUGGCUCUCAAAGGCUCCUGAAGAUUUAAGGAUUAACCAAAUCCCGGCAUAUGACAUCGACGAGCAUGUCAGGCAUGAAAGACUCGCGGUGGUAGCUGGAGCUUAUGCAAGGCAGUUUAGGAAAGAUUUUACACUUCUCUUGCAGCUGAGAGCCAAAGAAUUGGCCCCAGAAGGCAGGAUGGUUGUUUCCAUCCCGGGGAGGCGUUGUGAUCAACUCAUCAACGAAAUCUCUCACAUCUGGGGAACUGUAGCUCAGAUUUUAGCCAUCAUGGCCUCAGAGGGUGUGGUUGACAAAGCAAAGUUUGAUUCUUUCUACAUGCCGAUUUAUGGACCAUCCCAAAGAGAGCUAAGAGAGAUCAUCCAGGAAGAGGGCUCCUCCUCAAUCACAGAGAUGCGGGUACACGACCUUACAAGCGGGAUGGACAGCACGUUCCUCACCCCAAACAGGGUGGCGAAUAGUAUGAGAGCUGCACUUGAGCCGAUAAUAAACCAGCAUUUUGGAUCCUCGGGAGAGGUCAUGGAUGAAUUUGUGAGGACCGCCGAGAAGCACCUGAGCGGUCAAGGCAGCUCGCAUGUCAAUCCUGUGCGUUAG
rnacentral:rRNA from 1 species